rnacentral:rRNA from 1 species
GACGAACGCUGGCGGCGUGCCUAAUACAUGCAAGUCGAGCGCAGGAAACCGUCUGAACCCUUCGGGGGGACGACGGCGGAAUGAGCGGCGGACGGGUGAGUAACACGUAAAGAACCUGCCCAUAGGUCUGGGAUAACCACGAGAAAUCGGGGCUAAUACCGGAUGUGUCAUCGGACCGCAUGGUCCGCUGACGAAAGGCGCUUCGGCGUCGCCCAUGGAUGGCUUUGCGGUGCAUUAGCUAGUUGGUGGGGUAAUGGCCCACCAAGGCGACGAUGGAUAGCCGACCUGAGAGGGUGAUGGGCCACACUGGGACUGAGACACGGCCCAGACUCCUACGGGAGGCAGCAGUAGGGAAUCUUCCACAAUGGACGAAAGUCUGAUGGAGCAACGCCGCGUGAACGAUGAAGGCUUUCGGGUCGUAAAGUUCUGUUGUAAGGGAAGAACAAGUGCCGCAGGCAAUGGCGGCACCUUGACGGUACCUUGCGAGAAAGCCACGGCUAACUACGUGCCAGCCGCCGCGGUAAUAC